GAGGCUGGCGGGCGCGGGGAAAAUGGCGGCGGCGGCGGCGGCUGCUGCAGCUACGAACGGGACCGGAGGAAGCAGCGGGAUGGAGGUGGAUGCAGCAGUAGUCCCCAGCGUGAUGGCCUGUGGAGUGACUGGGAGUGUUUCCGUCGCUCUCCAUCCCCUUGUCAUUCUCAACAUCUCAGACCACUGGAUCCGCAUGCGCUCCCAGGAGGGGCGGCCUGUGCAGGGUGAGUGUUGGGCUUAGACUCCAGUCUCUUCUCCUUGCUCACCUCCCCCAGGCAGUGAUCUUUUCCCCUUCCUCUACUGGAGCCAAUUCCCCCUCCCCCAAAUCAUCGUUUCCCCAAUACAUGGUUCCCACUGAUCUGAGACCCUCAGGUCAUAGAAGUUUCUUUACCCUCACCUUUUCCAUGUCAUUCUCUUUCCCAGUGAUUGGGGCUCUGAUUGGCAAGCAGGAGGGCCGAAAUAUCGAGGUGAUGAACUCCUUUGAGCUGCUGUCCCACACCGUGGAAGAGAAGAUUAUCAUUGACAAGGAAUAUUAUUACACCAAGGAGGAGCAGUGUGAGAGUGGAAUAGAUGUGGGGAAGAGGAGUGGGAGUUAAAAAAAAAUGUACAGGGUGGGGAAGAUGGAGAGGGUUGGAAAGAAACAGGAGAGGAGACCAAGAACAGGGGAGAAAAAGUGAAGAGUAGCUGGAGAGAUCUCAGAAAAAGAACACGUUCACAGUUCUUUCUCAAAAGAAAGUAAAGGAUGAGAGAAGACAGGAUAGAAGGGAGUAGUUAUUCUAAACUGAGCCGGGAUUUGAGGAGGGAGGAGAGAAGCUGGUGAAAAUACACCAGGAGCUUCACAUUGAGGAAGGAUGGUUUAAAGAAUUACUAUGUCAGGCCGGGCGCAGUGACUCACGCCUCUAAUCCCAGCACUUUGAGAGGCCGAGGUGGGUGGAUCAUGAGGUCAGGAGUUCAAGACCAGCCUGGCAAACAUAGUGAAACCCCAUCUCUACUAAAAAUACAAAAAUUAGUCUGGCAUGGUGGUGCGUGCCUGUAGUCCCAGCUACGCGGGAUGCUGAGGCAGGAGAAUUGCUUGAACCUGGGAGGCGGAGGUUGUGGUGAGCUGAGAUCAUGCCACUGCACUCCAGCCUGGGCAACAGAGCGAGAUUCCGUCUCAGAAAAAAAAAAAAA
rnacentral:sRNA from 1 species